AGGUGGGUUCACAAGACGUGUCCCAUCACCCACCGAGUGCCCUCCCCGCCCCCCCCAGGUUCCCCGCGGACCGGCGCCAGCCAACACGCCACAGCCAUACGCCGCGCGGCUCCUCGGAGAUGAGCGUUUAUUUUUUUACAGUCGCCGGAUAAAAACCUAGCCUUAACUAACCCGACGGUGUCCUUCCCUUCACCGGAGAUUCCGUUCUGCAGCGAGGAUCUGAUGGGGAGCCCGGGGAUGGGGAGGACGAAGAGAGCUGCCCGCAGCCCUGCCACGCACUCAGGGACCCGUGCCCGCUGCCGUGCCUCCCCGUGCCCGCUGCCCACCGCCUUUCCCUCUUCUCUUAGCCACCUCCGUGCCCCUCGAUGGCAAAUUCGGGCGCAGGAGCGGAGCGAGCAGCCACCAGCCCGGUGCCAGCACGUGCCCCCGCGCCGAGGGCGACUGCAUGCGCUUGUCCCCACGCUUUGCUUUUCCGUCCUUUCGCCGAGGUGCCGGUUGCGCUGCCCGGCGUUUGCCGAGCCGUGGCACGCCGCGGUUCGUCGCCGCGGGGCUGCGGGAGGAGCGGUCCAGCAGAAGGACUGUACAUAGGUCAUUCCCCUCCGGGACGGUCCCCGUUCGUUCCCUCGUUGCUCUAGGAUUCAACUGACCUAAUUUAUUGAAGGGGUGCUAUCUCGUUCAUUCCCACCGACGGGUUUCUCAGCUGCAGGAGAGCCGUGUUGCGGGCCAACGCCGAGCAGCUCUUUGGUUAAUUCCUGACGAGCCCCCGUGGCCGGGUCACGGGGCCCAUUUCUCAGCCGUUCCCCCCCCCCCGUUCCCCCCCCCCCCCCCCCCAUUCUUUAGGAUGUUCACGGUGCUUCUUAGACUCCUCGUGGUUGUAAGACGUCGUCCCCACUGUACCGCGAUGAUAGCUGCCUCCAGCUGCUGUACUCCCGAGAAGUGUCAUGUUUGCUGUUCUAAUAAAGGACUUUUAUGAGAGAA